AAGGAGUGUGUAACAACUCACCUGCCGAAUGAAUUAGCCCUGAAAAUGGAUGGCGCUUAAGCGGGUAGCCGACACCACGCCGUCUGGGCGAGAACUGUUCCCAGAUGAGUAGGAGGACGUGGCGGUCGUAUCGAAGCGUAUGUGCAAACGUGCGUGGAACGGCCGCUAGUGCAGAUCUUGGUGUUAGUAGCAAAUAUUCAAACGAGAACCUUGAAGGGCGAAGCGGGGAAGGGUUCUACGCGAACAUUGAUUGAGCGUAGGUGAGUCGUUCCUAAGCCGCGUGGCAAUAGCUAAUUACUGGCGAAAGGGAAGCAGGUUGAUAUUCCUGCACACGGAUGUGAAAGCGGCGACGCACUAGCCUUGGCGAUGAAGCUGGCGAUGGCACUGGGCAGAGUUAUCUUUUCUGUUUGACCGUACUCGGGCGCGCUGUGUGGAAUCCGAUUGUCGGGAGAAACACGCGUGUUUGGGCAGAGCGCCGGGACUUUUCCGGCGUCCAGAUCGCCUUCGUCGGACCUUGAAAAAUUGCCCACAGGCCCCAUUUUUGAAAAUUCACGCCGUAACGUACCGAUAACCGCAUCAGGUCCCCAAGGUGAACAGCCUCUGCUCGAUAUGGAAAAUGC
rnacentral:rRNA from 1 species